rnacentral:lncRNA from 1 species
AAGCAAGCAAGAAGCACCACUAAGGAAAAAAAGUUAUUGGUCACUCCAACGCAGCACUACUUAACCUUUUUCUCUUGCUAUUUUUUUAGUCCUUGUUCGAUCAACAUAGGAAGAAAAUUUUCAAGCUUACAUUGUUCAUUCUAGCGCUUAAGCUUAAGCUAUUGGAGCAAUUUCAUUGUCUCACUCAAGUUCAUUCUUAACUCGCACAAUUGCCUCUACUUCACCUUUUUCUCCUUUUUCCCAUUCAUCACUUACUUGAGGACAAAGGAAAAAAGUAGUGUUAAGUAUAUAUGGAACUAUAAAGAGGCCAAGCAAGGAGGAUGAAGAAAGUCUAGU